rnacentral:rRNA from 1 species
AUUGAACGCUGGCGGCAGGCCUAACACAUGCAAGUCGAGCGGAUGAAGGGAGCUUGCUCCUGGAUUCAGCGGCGGACGGGUGAGUAAUGCCUAGGAAUCUGCCUGGUAGUGGGGGAUAACGUCCGGAAACGGGCGCUAAUACCGCAUACGUCCUGAGGGAGAAAGUGGGGGAUCUUCGGACCUCACGCUAUCAGAUGAGCCUAGGUCGGAUUAGCUAGUUGGUGGGGUAAAGGCCUACCAAGGCGACGAUCCGUAACUGGUCUGAGAGGAUGAUCAGUCACACUGGAACUGAGAAAAGGUCCAGACUCCUAAGGGAGGCAGCAGUGGGGAAUAUUGGAAAAUGGGCGAAAGCCUGAUCCAGCCAUGCCGCGUGUGUGAAGAAGGUCUUCGGAUUGUAAAGCACUUUAAGUUGGGAGGAAGGGCAGUAAGUUAAUACCUUGCUGUUUUGACGUUACCAACAGAAUAAGCACCGGCUAACUUCGUG